rnacentral:lncRNA from 10 species
UUUUUUUUUUUUUUUUUUGAGAUGGAUCUUGCUCUGUCACCCAGGCUGGAGUGCAGUGGCAUGAUCUCGGCUCACUGCAACCUCUGUCUCCCUGGUUCAAGCGAUUCUCCUGUCUCGGCCGCCCAAGUAGCUGGGAUUAUAGGCACGCGCCACCAUGCCCAGCUAAUUUUUGUAUUUUUAGUAGAUAUGGGGUUUCAUCAUGUUGGCCAGGCUGGUCUCGAACUCCUGACCUUGAGUGGUCUACCUGCCUUGGACUCCCAAAGUGUUGGGAUUACAGGCAUGAGCCACCGCACCCGGCCAAAGGACUGAGUCUUUAGUGUGGUGCUGGUGUGGAAGUGUCAGACACAUA